AAUUAGAACCCAUGACCUGUGACUCCCAAGCCCGGGCUCUUUCCACUAAGCCACGCUGCUUCUCUAGAGAGUUUCCGGUCCCCGCUAAUUUUCCCCAACGCUUUUUAUUUCUGUUCCUAAUCCCUUUAGACAGGUGCUCUGCCUAACACUGGUCAAACAUUCGACCACCCUUACAAGGAGCCAGUGGGGCCACCCUCAUCAACUGCACCACCCGGUCGCGUCAUGCCACCAACAUAGCACGACAUCAGCGGCUACCGAACAUGCAGCUUAAUGCAGUGACCUCAUAUGCGGUGAGCAAAAGUGACUCCAUUUGGUAACGCGGAAGCCAUCUUACGAGUGACCCUCAUCUGACCCCGCGAACAGCAACACAGAAGGAGGAAUUUGAGGAGGAACCGACAACGUAAAAGGAGGACCUUGAGGAGGCACUGGACCGUCUCGCAGUCGGCAGGAGAAAGACCGCCAGAGGUACGCGAGAUAAGCUGUCCUGCGAAAAACCAGCCCGCGGGGUGGGCGCGGGGGGAGAGGUAGCCAUCCCCCCCCCCCCCGGCUUUAUCUGGUAAUGGGUUUGAGACAGAAGCGGUGAAUCAGGACCUGCCACGACCCCCCGAAGCAACCUUGAGUGGGUAAAGCAGGGAAGAACCAGAUCCCCGCGGAGGGAUGGAACAGCCGAAACAGGCGGGUGGUACCGCCCAAGAAGGCGGCCGAACGACUGAAACAAGUCGGUUGCAGUGAGCCAAGAACCGGACCCUCGGCGCCGGCGGCAGAAGACUCCCUGAGACCCGUGACGAGACCCCUCCGGCACGGCCGCCGGGAUCCACCAAGGCUCGAGCCGGGACGACAUGCUGCACGUGGCCAGAUUCCUCCAUCUUCUUCAACGUGGGACCGUCUGCACCGACUUGGGGAAAAUAGUCAGGCAGCCUGUGUAGUUGCACUACAACGAUCUGAGGAGACCUAAAAUGAGGAGGAGGAGAAGGAGGGGAAAGAGGAGAGAAGGAAUACGAUGAGAAGCAGGAGAAGAAGGAAGAGAAGGAAGAGGUGCCUGGUGAGAUGCAAGCUGAUAUAUUUCAGAAGGCGGGAUCCCAUUGUCUGACCCAGAGAUUCAAACCAGGAAAACUAUCAUGGACUCGAUCCCCUACUUCUUCUCGCCAAAACAAGAAAAAGAUAAGUUAGCCAAAGAAACCACUAGGCAGGGCGCAAAGACAUUUUACUCAAAACUGCACACACUCUAUUAUUUCCCAACCUAACAUUUCUAUCUUGGAGCUUCAGCGGCUGUCAGAUAUAUCAUCAUUCCCAUCCUCGAAAGAAUGAGCUGGAGGACAUUUCCGAGGGUUCAUCGGUACCUAAAAGAGCUGUCUGCCAGGCUGCUUUAGCUUGAUUCUAUUUAUCGUGAUUAAGUUGUCUUGUUUUUGUCCCUCUGUGUCCCCCCCCAUUAGAC